rfam:Ixodes scapularis strain Wikel colony gcontig_1108378349014, whole genome shotgun sequence.
UCCUGGUUAGCUCAGUCGGUAGAGCUCUCCACUGAAAAUGGAGUGGCUCUUGUUUCGAUACCAGGACCAAGCA